rnacentral:rRNA from 1 species
CAGUCGCCGCGGUAAUACGUAGGUGGCAAGCGUUGUCCGGAAUUAUUGGGCGUAAAGGGCUCGCAGGCGGUUUCUUAAGUCUGAUGUGAAAGCCCCCGGCUCAACCGGGGAGGGCCAUUGGAAACUGGGAAACUUGAGUGCAGAAGAGGAGAGUGGAAUUCCACGUGUAGCGGUGAAAUGCGUAGAGAUGUGGAGGAACACCAGUGGCGAGGGCGACUCUCUGGUCUGUAACUGACGCUGAGGAGCGAAAGCGUGGGGAGCGAACAGGAUUAGAUACCCCCGUAGUCCCUGUCUCUUAUAC